AACCAUGGUGGGGGCAUUCGCUGCGGUAGUUAUUGAAGCGCUCCCAUACAUCACAGAAGGGCUCAUCAUGGAUCUGACUGAAUGUGGAGAUCUUGUUCCUCAAGGCU
rfam:Brassica rapa chromosome A5, whole genome shotgun sequence.